GAAUCUUCCGCAAUGGACGAAAGUCUGACGGAGCAACGCCGCGUGAGUGAAGAAGGCCUUCGGGUCGUAAAGCUCUGUUGUUAGGGAAGAACAAGUACCGGAGUAACUGCCGGUACCUCGACGGUACCUAACCAGAAAGCCACGGCUACCUACGUGCCAGCAGCCGCGGUAAUACGUAGGUGGCAAGCGUUGUCCGGAAUUAUUGGGCGUAAAGCGCGCGCAGGCGGUUCCUUAAGUCUGAUGUGAAAGCCCCCGGCUCAACCAGGGAGGGUCAUUGGAAACUGGGGAACUUGAGUGCAGAAGAGAAGAGCGGAAUUCCACGUGUAGCGGUGAAAUGCGUAGAGAUGUGGAGGAACACCAGUGGCGAAGGCGGCUCUUUGGUCUGUAACUGACGCUGAGGCGCGAAAGUGUGGGGAGCAAACAGG
rnacentral:rRNA from 1 species